UCGCCCAACGCUGACCGACCGGGAAGCCGGUCCUCCUCCUCCUCCUCCUCCCCUCUCCGUCUCCCGCGAUCCGUGUCCCCAGAUUCGUCCGCCAUCCGGUCUCAUCUCUCCUCCUCCCCCCUCUCCCCUGCUCUCCGUCCCCGAGCUCCCACGCGCGCCCCCACCCGACCAGCCCCGGCCGUCCUGCUCGUCUCUCCCGCCCGCGACCCCGGCGGCCGCCCCCACUCCGACCCCGAUCCUGCGGCGGCGCGUCCCGGCGUCCCAAGGUGGGGAUUCAUAUUUCCUUCUUCCCGCACCUCUUUCCCGCGUGGUUGGCAGCGCCCCGAUCCAAUCGAUCCAUCAAGGCUCGACUAACCUCUUCCAGCGCCUCUUCAGCGCGGGAGAUCUACCAGGGUCGGCGGGCGUGGGGCGUAGGUGCAGGCGUGCAGCCCAAGUCCGCCCCCGGCUCUAGGUUUCUGCUAAUCUUCUGCUACCUGUGACACGCGCUCCGGGGCUAGGAGCACUCUUUGCCGGCUGUCUCGUGCUGGGAAUGGCGGAUGGGGACUCGUCCGACUUCACCUUCUGCAAGGUUGACUAUGCUGAAAAUGAUGGUCGUUUGGACUCCCCUAAUUCCAUGGCUGUGGCAAGUAUGACACUGGAGGAUGUUGCCGGUGAUGGUGAGACUAAGAAGGUUCAGGAUGACAAGCAAAUAGUCAAUCCAGUUACUGAUGAAAAAUCUAGUUCCAUAUCUAGUCACGCCAAUGGUGUAUCGCUUCGAGAGCCCAAUUUAAAAGAACCAGUUGUACCAACCAGUAGUGGAGAGUCUGUGCAGUCAAAUGUGGCUCAACCAAAACCUGUAAAGAAAUCUGCGGUACGGGCAAAGGUUCCUUUUGAGAAGGGAUUUAGCCCAAUGGACUGGCUUAAGCUGACUCGUACACAUCCAGAUCUGGCAGGGCUCAAGGGACAGUCAAAUCGGAGGUUAAUUUCUUUGGAAGAAGUUAAGCAGCAUAAAACUGGAGAUUGUAUCUGGACAGUUUUAAAAGGUCGUGUGUACAAUAUUGGUCCCUACAUGAAAUUUCAUCCUGGAGGAGUUGAUAUGCUUAUGAAGGGUGCUGGAAAAGACUGCACUGCUUUGUUCAAUAAAUACCAUGCCUGGGUGAACGCAGAGUUCCUCUUGGAGAAAUGCCUCGUGGGAUACCUUGAUCCCAAUGAGUAGAUCACGCUCUAGCUGGUUCUCAGGGUCGGGUACAGUUUGGUCGCGUGGAGAUGAUCUGAAGAAUGUAAAGAGUGCGUUGAUGCAGUAUAGUGGAGAUAGGUUGAUCAACAUUUUCUGCAGAAAAUAGACGAAUAAACAAAUUUGAUGAUGAUCGUCCUUGCAGAACAAAUUGUCAUCACUGGUUGGCUGCUGCAUAAAAAAAACGGGUAUCUCUGUUGUUGGGCUGUUUAAUUUCAGAAAGGGGCAAAAAAAUGGAGCUUCUGUUUCUAUUUUUUGAAGGAGAAAGGCAAGGAAAGAGGGAACACUGGUAGCAUUCCAGCAGAAACAAAUACUAACAUACUACAUGAUCGUAAGAAAAAUAAUAGAACACAUACAGAGCUAA